rnacentral:piRNA from 1 species
UGAAUAAGAUACCAAGGACCCGGAAGCAC